GACGAACGCUGGCGGCGUGCUUAACACAUGCAAGUCGAACGGAAAGGCCCUGCUUUUGUGGGGUGCUCGAGUGGCGAACGGGUGAGUAACACGUGAGUAACCUGCCCUUUACUUUGGGAUAACUUCAGGAAACUGGGGCUAAUACCGGCUAGGAGCUCCUGCUGCAUGGUGGGGGUUGGAAAGUUUCGGCGGUUGGGGAUGGACUCGCGGCUUAUCAGCUUGUUGGUGGGGUAGUGGCUUACCAAGGCUUUGACGGGUAGCCGGCCUGAGAGGGUGACCGGCCACAUUGGGACUGAGAUACGGCCCAGACUCCUACGGGAGGCAGCAGUGGGGAAUAUUGCACAAUGGGCGGAAGCCUGAUGCAGCAACGCCGCGUGCGGGAUGACGGCCUUCGGGUUGUAAACCGCUUUCGCCUGUGACGAAGAGUGAGUGACGGUAAUGGGUAAAGAAGAACCGGCUAACUACGUG
rnacentral:rRNA from 1 species